ensembl:lncRNA
CUGUUAAAAGGUUUAAUGGGGGUGCCCAACUUUCAGAUGGUGGGGAAAUAUGUUAUCUCUUUGCAGACCAGUCAUUCAUCUCUAUCUUUCUCUGAAAAACAAAAUCGGGGCCCCAUUUGUUGCUUUCUAACUCUGCUUCCCGCUGACCCGUGGCUCUUCUCCGCACUCAUCUACAGUUCACCACUCUGCUUUUCAACUAAAGCAAUUCUAUUUCUCUUUGUUUUAAUUAUUUGUUGAUUCACCUAAGAUUUGGUCUGAUUUCUGAGCAAAAAAUCAUUUGAAAAUAUCCAGAAGAGAUUCUUUUAAGGUUCCUUCCAGAACUAAGACUUCUUGAAUCGAUGAAAUGCAGGCUCUGGUCAGGAAUGCAGACCUGUUAGUCAAUCCUUAAAUUAUCUCAGCCUGGAGCUGCCUCUCUCUCUGUACAUUAGGCCAGAAACACAGACCUUCUUUAUUUUUUUCCAGAACAUAAAGUUGAACUGUACAGGCUGUGAUGGAGGUAAAUGAGAAAGACCAACACAUGUGUGUCAGGAAACAAGGGGCAACGUGGAUGGCUGGCGGAAAGCGGGAUUCUUCCUCCCCUGUUUCUUCAAACGGCCACUAGGUGAAUAGUGAGAGAGAACUCUCCUACUUCCUUGCCUUGGUUCUGCACUCAUGAAGUCUGGUUAUGAGUGGACAGCACCAAAUAUUAAUUGCUCUUUCAAAGUAUAUAGAACAUCUUGGAAGACAGCCCUCCAAACUGUAAAAGUGUUGGUUUGCAGCUUCCAUCAUAGCUGGAUCUUCUAAAGGCCAUCCUACCAUUUUUAAGCCAUGCUGUGCAGUCUGUGGGAUCUUAGUUCCCCAACCAGGGAUUUAACCCAGGCCCAGGCAAUGGAAGUGUGGAGCCCUAACCAUUGGAC